GCGAUUCGCCCUUCGGGGUGCCCAGGCGCGAAAACUUUGCAUACACGAAAGUGUGACAGGGCUAUCCCGAGUGCCAUCCGCUGAGGAAGGCUUUUACCCAGUCUAGAAAGCUGGGGGAAUAAGGAGAGGGCAAGUCUGGUGUCAGCCGCCGCGGUAAUACCAGCUCUCCGAGUGGUGUGGAUGUUUAUUGGGCCUAAAGCAUCCGUAGCUGGCUAAGUUAGUCCCUUGUUAAAUCCACCGAAUUAAUCGUUGGAUCGCGGGGGAUACUGCUUGGCUAGGGGACGAGAGGCAGACGGUAUUUUCGGGGUAGGGGUGAAAUCCUAUAAUCCCGGGAAGACCACCAGUGGCGAAGGCUGUCUGCUAGAACGCGCCCGACGGUGAGGGAUGAAAGCUGGGGGAGCGAACCGGAUUAGAUACCCGGGUAGUCCCAGCUGUAAACGAUGCAGGCUAGGUGUUUGGACGGCCACGUGCCGUUCUAGUGCCGCAGGGAAGCUGUUAAGCCUGCCGCCUGGGGAGUACGAUCGCAAGAUUGAAACUUAAAGGAAUUGGCGGGGGAGCAC
rnacentral:rRNA from 1 species